UCAUGGCUCAGAUUGAACGCUGGCGGCAGGCCUAACACAUGCAAGUCGAACGGUAGCACAGGAGAGCUUGCUCUCCGGGUGACGAGUGGCGGACGGGUGAGUAAUGUCUGGGAAACUGCCCGAUAGAGGGGGAUAACUACUGGAAACGGUAGCUAAUACCGCAUAACCUCGCAAGAGCAAAGUGGGGGACCUUCGGGCCUCACGCUAUCGGAUGUGCCCAGAUGGGAUUAGCUAGUAGGUGGGGUAACGGCUCACCUAGGCGACGAUCCCUAGCUGGUCUGAGAGGAUGACCAGCCACACUGGAACUGAGACACGGUCCAGACUCCUACGGGAGGCAGCAGUGGGGAAUAUUGCACAAUGGGCGCAAGCCUGAUGCAGCCAUGCCGCGUGUAUGAAGAAGGCCUUCGGGUUGUAAAGUACUUUCAGCGGGGAGGAAGGCGAUGGGUUAAUAACCCGUCGAUGACUUACCCGCAAAGCCAU
rnacentral:rRNA from 1 species